GGAUUGCCUGCCUGAGAGGACCAAGGAGAGAACCACCUCUCAGCAGUAGAAGCAAGGCAUAGAUAUGCAAACUGCACAGAGACUGGGAAUGCAAAUGACAAUAGCAGCCAUGGGCAACAGAGCUGGAACUCCAGAGCAGAGCUGAGCACUAGGAAGUGAGAACCUUAAGGUAUUUCCAGUAUGUUCUACUCUCCUCAAACCUCAGAGCAUCUCUGAAGGCCACACAAGAACAUUUGUGUUUUAGCCCAUUCUCAUGCUGCUAUAAAGAAAUACCUGAGACUGGGUAAUUUAUAAAGAAAAAAGGUUUAAUUGGCUCAUGAUUCUGCAGGCUAUACAGGAAGCAUAGUGGCUUCUGCUUCUGGGAGGCCUCAGGAAACUUUCAAUCAUGGCAAAAUGUGAAAGGAAAGCAGGCACGUCCUACACAGCCAGAGUAGGAACAAGAGAGAGAGGGAAAGGUGCUACACACUUUUAAACAACCAGAUCUCACGAGAACUCACUCACUAUUACCAAGACAAUACCAAGGGGGAUGGCACUAAACCAUUCAUGAGAAAUCCAUUCCCAUGAUGCAUUCACCUCCCACCAGGCCCCACCUUCAACAUUGGGGAUUACAGUUCAAAAUGAGGUUUGGUGGGGACACAGAUCCAAACCAUAUCAACUUGUAGGGGCAGAAAGACGUCACCUUUACUUGAAUUGCAACCCUUACCUUUUCAUCGCAGGCUGUAGGAGCAGAGCCUGACAACCAGCACUUGUCUUGGAGAUCACUGCAUCUAGAAUAAUCCUGCCCUAGAGAUCUAGGUGGACACACAGGCAAGUAGGGGCCUGGUGGCCCACUGAUUUCCCUACUGAAAUAAAAAGCCAGAUACAAGACUUCUACAUCUGCAAAGGUGGAGUGGAUGUGCUUUUCCCUACUUUUCCCACUAAAUAUGACUAAAAACCCUGGACAUUAUGUAUACAACCAACGUAAGAGGAUGCUGAAAGGAAGAGAUAAAAGGCAAACCUGCUGGGGACCUCAGGACCUGAGGAACAACAUGGUGCUCAGCAAUUGCACUCCUGGGCCCUCAUCUCAGAGAAUGAAGACUUAGGUUCACACAAAAACAUGUACACGGAGGUUUACAGCAGCUUUAUUCUUAAUCAACAAACACUGGAAACAACGCAGAUAUCCUUCAGCAGAUGACCUGUUAGACACACUGUGGUACUUCCAUACUGUGGACUGCUACACCCAACCCACCUGGAAUUAUGCUGAAUGAAAAGGUGAAUCCUAGAGGUUAUGUACUUUAUGAUUCUAUUCAUAAAAUAUCCUUGAAAUGACAAAAUUUUAGAAAUGGAGAACAAAUUAGCAGUUGCCAGGGGUUCUAGGGGAGUGAGGAUGAGAGGGAAGUGGAUGUGGCUAUAAAAGCAUACCACUUUGUGGGGUAGAGACGUUCUGUAGCUUGACUACAGAUAUUCUAUCAGUGUCAGUAUCCUGUUGUGAUAUUUACUGUGGUUUGUGAGAAGUUGCCAUUGCAGGAAACUGAGUAAAGGGCACAUAGCAUC
rnacentral:lncRNA from 1 species